rnacentral:rRNA from 1 species
CGGUAAAGAAACUUGCCUCACAGCUAGGGACGAAAUUUAGUAAAGAAUGCUAAUACCUAAUAUUAUGAUAAUAAGGGAUCCUAUAAUUAUGAAAGCUAUAUGCGCUGUGAGAGAGCUUUGCGUCCCAUUAGCUAGUUGGAGAGGUAACGGCUCACCAAGGCGAUGAUGGGUAGUCGGCCUGAGAGGGUGAUCGGCCACAAGGGGACUGAGACACGGCCCUU